rnacentral:rRNA from 1 species
CCUACGGGGGGCAGCAGUGAGGAAUAUUGGUCAAUGGGCGCUAGCCUGAACCAGCCAAGUAGCGUGAAGGAUGACUGCCCUAUGGGUUGUAAACUUCUUUUAUAUGGGAAUAAAGUGCAGUAUGUAUACUGCUUUGCAUGUACCUUAUGAAUAAGGAUCGGCUAACUCCGUGCCAGCAGCCGCGGUAAUACGGAGGAUCCGAGCGUUAUCCGGAUUUAUUGGGUUUAAAGGGAGCGUAGGCGGGUUGUUAAGUCAGAUGUGAAAGCUUGCGGCUCAACCGUAAAAUUGCAGUUGAAACUGGCAGCCUUGAGUACAGUAGAGGUAGGCGGAAUUCGUGGUGUAGCGGUGAAAUGCGUAGAUAUCUCGAAGAACUCUGAUGGCGAAGGCAGCCUGCUGGAC